CUUUGUGGUGAAAUGUCAAAUAGAGGUCCAUUUGCUAGAAAAUGUGUCGUGUCAGAUGCUGCAACUGGCAUACACAAAAUCACUUUGCUAUAUAUUUACAUAAUACUACCUUUUUCUGGAUAUACUAUAACUAUUUGUUCUCUUUUGUAGUUUGCUCUAUGUUUGGUCAUAUUGUUCCUAGCGGUCUUGGAAGUAUCUUCAAGUUUUAAUAGAUGCAAUCCACGGUCCUGAGAUCGGCAAAGUUUGUGGCAUCCUUCUUCCUUAUGUAUUGCGUCUAAUUGCCUUUGGUCAUAAAUAGCAAGACACUGAUGGAGGAGCCGUCCAGCUCAUGCUGUGACUGUUCCAGCUUUCUGUGCUAAGAAAUCACUGACUGCCAGGAAAGGGAAGUGGACUGUGUGCCAGAGAGCGGUUUAUCUUUGCCCGUCAACUACAUAUCAAUUGACAGACGAUCGACGAGGCUCUCUGUCGCAGCUGUGUGCCUGAUCAACAAGCCAAAUAUUUCGAGUCUGCUUGCUAACGUGUCUGAAGAGAAGAUAUCAGUGAUGGUGGACCUGGUGAUGAGGGCAUCAAGACAAAGAGAUUAAUUCACAACUUUGUUCUUGAUAGGUUGUCGCAUUCCUCGCAGAUUUACCACUCCUUCCCUCUCCUGGAAUCACUAAAUGAGAUCUUGGAAGCUAAUAGAGUUGAAGAAUCACAUGGUAAUGUACACACGAUGCAUUUCAUUUUCCCAAACACCUUCAGUGAACCUUGGCAUCUCCCCCCCAUCCCAGCAGAACAUAUUACAAAGAUUGUCUUAUCAGUGCUGGGAAGGAUCAAUUUAUAGUAUCUUCUGUAUACUUGCAUACCAUCCGUCCGUCAACUGAUGCGACGCUAAGAUGACGAGGUAAUAUCUCUUGUCCCCUCCUUCCCUCUCAUCAACUGAUGCCUCUUUCUUAGAAUUAAAUUUCUUUUGUAGCUUCAGUUCUGUUGUACCUUCAGUUCUGUUCAUACAUGAGUGUUUCUUCCUUCAUUUACAUGAAAAUAUUGUUGUAUAUGCAAGUUAAACCUGUGAUUUUUCUAUUGUUUUGGUUCAUCCAGUUUGUUCCUAGCCUAUACAUGCCUCGUGUUGUAUCUUGGUUGGUAGUGUAUCAUGAUAAUCAAGUUUCACUCACACACUGAUUGGCAAAACAAAAAAUUGGUCGGCAUAACUGGAUGUGGACACUUAGAAUCAGAUAGUCUGUAGGCUUUGGUUAGGAAUAUGCAUCAAAAUCAUAUAUUAUCCUGUCCGUAUAAAUAACCCAAACCCAGGUUUGUUGUAUCAUAAACACUUUCUGAAUUUAAACAACUACGGGCUUAUAGAAGCAUGUUGACAAGGUAAUGGCAGUCUAUCCAAUUAUCCAUGGUGAUGUGCUAAAUCUAUAGGUUAGACCGAUAUAAAUACACACAAAUGUUUAACACGUUUAUUUAGGACCUUUAACAAAUCUGGAGUUGUUGCUUUCUUCAUGCUGAUGAGGGGUGCAGAACUAUCUUAAGGAUGUGUCGUUGUCUCUGCAAAGGGAGUUUUUGCUUGGUGCCUCACUUUCUAUUCGGAGAUGCAACGUCGUGUUUGCUCGGGCAGGUUUUUACCUUUUGUAUGGUCAUUGUUGCUUCAUGCUUUUCUCAGAGAGGGUUUUAUCUGUAGUGCCGUCUCUCCUCUUUGUAGUGCUGCUAUGCUGACUGCCACUCGGUGGCUUUUUUUCCUAUUUCUUUUUUGCUUUCUUUUGGCAUGGUCGUGUUGUUGCCCCGACCAUCUUAUUUGCUUCGCUACUUUGGCCUGGUUGUAUGGAUGUUUGCUUUAUUUAUAAAUUUGGGUGAAAGUCUAUUUCGAGAAGGUUUUAUCUGUAGCCUGCAACCUUUGAGUGUUUCUUAACUACACUGAUUUGUAUGGCGAUAACCAAGUAACGAUGUAACAUUACUGUCAGGCAGUAGGAAAUUAGCUUCCUUUGUCGAGAAACUUGAGAUCUGAUUAAGUCCUGUCAGAUUGUCCUGUUCAUCUUCCUUAUGUUUUGCAGAUAAUUCAGGAGCAGCCAACAUUCUUUGUUUUGCUGACAGUAUGUGUGGGUGUGAAAAUGUGUAUGGUUUUAUGUUUUGAUAUACGCACAACCAGUAAGAUGUGUUCUUUGUUUUCAAGCUCAGUUGUGUGUUUCCUAUGCCUCUCUUAACGCUCAUUGUUACCAUGUGA